rnacentral:misc_RNA from 1 species
AUGACAUCUAUGAACGAAAAGCGCGUCUAAGCAGAAAUGAGCACUGGCAAUUUUAAAUGACUAUCGCGGCAGCAGCUCGGCCCUACGGUACGGUUGACUUUGAACCGUGCCGUCCGCAAAGGAUUAAUUUAUAUGUAUAUAAGAAGCAAUGAAUUUAAUAAAAGAUAUAACUAUUUUUGUUGACACAUUUAAUAAAUUUAUAUUGAUAAAAUGAAGGAAAACACGAUUUAUAUCUCAACUAUUUCAACUAUAAACGAGAAAAGAUAUGUUAAAAUCGAUCAUAAAAAUUUAAGAAAAUAAUGAUUAAAAAUGAUUAUAAUAUUAUUUCUUUUGAAUGUAGCGGACAUCUGAACUUGCUAAACUUACGAUGUUCCUUCAAACGGGGACAGCCGAGUGCAAAGGGUCAAAUAUGUGUUAGAUUUGACUUAUUCCAUUAGGAGUUAAACCGAUUGGAAGAUAUCUUGUUAACAUCUUUUUUCUAUGUAAAUUUUUGAGCUAAUGCAUCAAAAAAUCCUCGCGAUUUAUCAAAUUUGAAACCAAAAUGAUUAAACAAUCAAUCACCUAAUUUUUCAAAUGUUAUUUAUAUGAUUAUUUAUAUAUUACAAAUGUAUAAAUAGUAAACACAUUGACUUUUAUAUGUUAACAUUGCGAUAAUUGUUAAAGCUGAAAAAAUUUAAAUAACUAGUAAAAUAAAAAAUUACCUUAUCAUUUUUAUCCUGUUUUUCAAUUUUGGGACUUUUUGAAGAUAAUAACGGCACAAUAG